rnacentral:lncRNA from 13 species
AGACCUGAUUUCACCAUAUUGCCCAGGCUGGUCUUGAACUCCUGGGCUCAAGCAAUCCACCCACCUGGGCCUCCCAGAGCCGGGAGGGAUUACAGGUUGCUCUAUCCCCGUGGAUGCACUCAUAUAGAUGCCUGAUGCGUUUUUCAUCAAUUCCCAUGUCUUGAGCCCACUUGAAGAACUCACUGAAUUUUCUUGCCCUCAAAACAGGCCGGUGUGUCCUCCAGCUUCUCCUCAAUAUCAGUCAAUUGCAGCAACUGUUGCAGGAGACUGCACACCCGAUGAGUAUCGGGAGGUUCCGGGCAGAGAUGGGACACUCCAGUCUCGGGAGGCUCCGGGUGGAGAUGAGACACUGGAGUCUCAGGAGGCUCCAGGCAGAGAUGAGACACUCCAGUCUUGGGAGGCUCCAGGCGGAGAGGAGAUACGCAAGUCUCGGGAGGCUCCGGGCAGAGAUGGGACAUCUGGCAGGUCUUGGGAGGCUCUGGGCAGAGAUGGGGCACCCUAGUCUCAGGAGGCCAUGGGUAGAAUUCCCAAGGGUAUUUACCAGGCUCUGUGGGUUCCUUGGUUGCCUUCUCCCAGUCCUCACAACAAGCCCAUGUGCCCUCCAGCUUCCUCUCAGGAUCCUGCGGUUUCAGCACCUGUCGUAGGAGAUCUGGAGGUGUAUCUUCUCUCGGACUGCGGCUCCUGGCCAAGAAACACUCAGCCGUAAACCGGUCUUCCACUUCCUCUAGGGACACCUUCCGUGCUAGCCGGGCCGCUUCCUUGAGCGGCUUUUUCGGCCUGCUUUGGGGGUCAGCAUAUGCAUCUCUGCUAGAGAUUUUGGGGAGUAAGAACUCGUCCCGGCCACAAACUAGCGAAUCUUCGGGAGACUGAGAGUGGUUCGAGUAGUCAUCCAUGCCCCACUUCAUAAAUAUCCAGUUCUCGGUGUUUGUGGGUGGCAACUUCAGCUUCCCGAAGCGCUUGGAAGGCGAUGUGUCACAGUACCAGGGCGUAGAGUCCAUUCCCCGGUAAUUUGGCCAGUCCUGUCGCCUCUGGUCCCCCAUAGUGGUUCUCGCUGGGCUGCCACCUCUCCUGCUUCAGCGGUUCCGGAUCCCUGCGGCUCUGGUCGCUAGGAGACCAUGAACCACGUGCAACCCAGGUUCUUCCGGGAGGCGGGGCAGCUCUGACGUCACAAAGGCAGACCGGAUUCUAACAGGUGUGUAGCGGAAUCUCAUUCUGGGUUUCAUUUGCAUUUCCUGAUGACUGCUGGUAUUGAACAUCUCUAUAUUUGGUCAUUUAUCCUUCUCUCUCCUUGAUUGAAGUUUCUGUUCAUUUUUUCCCCGUAUUUAAACCGGGUUGCUGGAUAUCACAUUUAGUUUUGACAAUUCUUGUUGUGUUCCACGUGUAAGUCCGUUAUCACAUACAUGAUUAGCAAUCUUUUCUCUUCAUCUUUGGCUUUUCCCUUUCAUUGUCUUAACAGUGUGUUUCAAAGAGAAGAUUUUUUUUCUUUUUCAUUUGAUGAGGUC